AAAAAGGCUUUUAUGAAAGCCCCCACUUUAACUUUAAAAUUAACA
rfam:Hymenolepis nana genome assembly, scaffold: HNAJ_scaffold0000694